GAAAUGCGAUAAUUAAUGUGAAUUGCAGAAUUCAGUGAAUCAUCGAGUCUUUGAACGCACAUUGCACCCCCUGGUAUUCCGGGGGGUAUGCCUGUCCGAGCGUCAUUGCUGCCCUCAAGCCCGGCUUGUGUGUUGGGUCCUCGUCCCCCCCCGGGGGACGGGCCCGAAAGGCAGCGGCGGCACCGCGUCCGGUCCUCGAGCGUAUGGGGCUUUGUCACACCGCUCUCGUAGGCCCGGCCGGCGCCGGCCGACGCUGAAAAGCAACCAUUAUUUCUCCAGGUUGACCUCGGAUCAGGUAGGGAUACCCGCUGAACUUAAGC
rnacentral:misc_RNA from 1 species